rnacentral:rRNA from 1 species
UACGUAGGGGGCUAGCGUUGUCCGGAAUCAUUGGGCGUAAAGCGCGUGUAGGCGGUUCGGUAAGUCCGCUGUGAAAGUCGGGGGCUCAACCCUCGAAAGCCGGUGGAUACUGUCGGGCUAGAGUACGGAAGAGGCGAGUGGAAUUCCUGGUGUAGCGGUGAAAUGCGCAGAUAUCAAGGAGGAACACCGGUGGCGAAGGCGGGUCUCGUGGGCCGAUACUGACGCUGAGGAGCGAAAGCGUGGGGAGCGAACAGG